rnacentral:rRNA from 1 species
GGGUUGUGAGGUUAAGCGACUAAGCGUACACGGUGGAUGCCCUGGCAGUCAGAGGCGAUGAAGGACGUGCUAAUCUGCGAUAAGCGUCGGUAAGGUGAUAUGAACCGUUAUAACCGGCGAUUUCCGAAUGGGGAAACCCAGUGUGUUUCGACACACUAUCAUUAACUGAAUCCAUAGGUUAAUGAGGCGAACCGGGGGAACUGAAACAUCUAAGUACCCCGAGGAAAAGAAAUCAACCGAGAUUCCCCCAGUAGCGGCGAGCGAACGGGGAGCAGCCCAGAGCCUGAAUCAGUAUGUGUGUUAGUGGAAGCGUCUGGAAAGGCGCGCGAUACAGGGUGACAGCCCCGUACACAAAAAUGCACAUAUUGUGAGCUCGAUGAGUAGGGCGGGACACGUGGUAUCCUGUCUGAAUAUGGGGGGACCAUCCUCCAAGGCUAAAUACUCCUGACUGACCGAUAGUGAACCAGUACCGUGAGGGAAAGGCGAAAAGAACCCCGGCGAGGGGAGUGAAAAAGAACCUGAAACCGUGUACGUACAAGCAGUGGGAGCACGCUUAGGCGUGUGACUGCGUACCUUUUGUAUAAUGGGUCAGCGACUUAUAUUCUGUAGCAAGGUUAACCGAAUAGGGGAGCCGAAGGGAAACCGAGUCUUAACUGGGCGUUAAGUUGCAGGGUAUAGACCCGAAACCCGGUGAUCUAGCCAUGGGCAGGUUGAAGGUUGGGUAACACUAACUGGAGGACCGAACCGACUAAUGUUGAAAAAUUAGCGGAUGACUUGUGGCUGGGGGUGAAAGGCCAAUCAAACCGGGAGAUAGCUGGUUCUCCCCGAAAGCUAUUUAGGUAGCGCCUCGUGAAUUCAUCUCCGGGGGUAGAGCACUGUUUCGGCAAGGGGGUCAUCCCGACUUACCAACCCGAUGCAAACUGCGAAUACCGGAGAAUGUUAUCACGGGAGACACACGGCGGGUGCUAACGUCCGUCGUGAAGAGGGAAACAACCCAGACCGCCAGCUAAGGUCCCAAAGUCAUGGUUAAGUGGGAAACGAUGUGGGAAGGCCCAGACAGCCAGGAUGUUGGCUUAGAAGCAGCCAUCAUUUAAAGAAAGCGUAAUAGCUCACUGGUCGAGUCGGCCUGCGCGGAAGAUGUAACGGGGCUAAACCAUGCACCGAAGCUGCGGCAGCGACACUAUGUGUUGUUGGGUAGGGGAGCGUUCUGUAAGCCUGUGAAGGUGUGCUGUGAGGCAUGCUGGAGGUAUCAGAAGUGCGAAUGCUGACAUAAGUAACGAUAAAGCGGGUGAAAAGCCCGCUCGCCGGAAGACCAAGGGUUCCUGUCCAACGUUAAUCGGGGCAGGGUGAGUCGACCCCUAAGGCGAGGCCGAAAGGCGUAGUCGAUGGGAAACAGGUUAAUAUUCCUGUACUUGGUGUUACUGCGAAGGGGGGACGGAGAAGGCUAUGUUGGCCGGGCGACGGUUGUCCCGGUUUAAGCGUGUAGGCUGGUUUUCCAGGCAAAUCCGGAAAAUCAAGGCUGAGGCGUGAUGACGAGGCACUACGGUGCUGAAGCAACAAAUGCCCUGCUUCCAGGAAAAGCCUCUAAGCAUCAGGUAACAUCAAAUCGUACCCCAAACCGACACAGGUGGUCAGGUAGAGAAUACCAAGGCGCUUGAGAGAACUCGGGUGAAGGAACUAGGCAAAAUGGUGCCGUAACUUCGGGAGAAGGCACGCUGAUAUGUAGGUGA